rnacentral:rRNA from 1 species
UACGUAGGGUGCAAGCGUUAAUCGGAAUUACUGGGCGUAAAGCGUGCGCAGGCGGUUUUGUAAGUCUGUCGUGAAAUCCCCGGGCUCAACCUGGGAAUUGCGAUGGAGACUGCAAGGCUAGAAUCUGGCAGAGGGGGGUAGAAUUCCACGUGUAGCAGUGAAAUGCGUAGAGAUGUGGAGGAAUACCGAUGGCGAAGGCAGCCUCCUGGGCCAACACUGACGCUCAUGCACGAAAGCGUGGGGAGCAAAAGGG